rnacentral:rRNA from 1 species
ACGGAAGGCAGCAGUGAGGAAUAUUGGUCAAUGGGCGGAAGCCUGAACCAGCCAAGUCGCGUGAAGGAUGAAGGUAUUAUGUAUUGUAAACUUCUUUAGCAGUGGAGUAAUAAGGGGGAUGCAUCCCCUGAUGCAAGUACACUAAGAAUAAGGACCGGCUAAUUCCGUGCCAGCAGCCGCGGUAAUACGGAAGGUCCGGGCGUUAUCCGGAUUUAUUGGGUUUAAAGGGAGCGUAGGCCGUGCUUUAAGCGUGUUGUGAAAUGUAGGCGCCCAACGUCUGCACUGUAGCGCGAACUGGAGCACUUGAGUACGCAGGAAGUAGGCGGAAUUCGUCGUGUAGCGGUGAAAUGCUUAGAUAUGACGAAGAACUCCGAUUGGGAAGCCAGCUUACUGUAGCGCCACUGACGCUGAUGCUCGAAAGCGUGGGUAUCGAACAGGAUUAGAUACCCUGGUA